GGGGAAUCUUGCGCAAUGGGCGAAAGCCUGACGCAGCGACGCCGCGUGCGGGAAGAAGGCCUUAGGGUUGUAAACCGCUUUCAGGAGGGACGAAGCCACUCGGGUGAACAGCCCAGAGGGUGACGGUACCUCCAGAAGAAGCCCCGGCUAACUACGUGCCAGCAGCCGCGGUAAUACGUAGGGGGCAAGCGUUGUCCGGAUUCAUUGGGCGUAAAGAGCGUGUAGGCGGCCAGGUAGGUCGGUUGUGAAAACUGGAGGCUCAACCUUCAGACGUCGACCGAAACCCCCUGGCUAGAGUCCGGGAGAGGAGAGUGGAAUUCCUGGUGUAGCGGUGGAAUGCGCAGAUAUCAGGAAGAACACCCGUGGCGAAAGCGGCUCUCUGGAACGGUACUGACGCUGAGACGCGAAAGCGUGGGGAGCGAAC
rnacentral:rRNA from 1 species